GGAAGGGUGGCAGAGUGGUUAUUGUUGUUGUCUUGAAAAUAAUUGUCAGAAAUGACUUGUGGGUUCGAAUCCCACCCCUUCCU
rnacentral:tRNA from 1 species